CAACAGCUCAAAUUUGAAAUCUGGCCCCUAGGGUCCGAGUUGUAAUUUGUAGAGGAUGCUUUUGGUGAGGUGCCGCCCGAGUUCCCUGGAACGGGACGCCGCAGAGGGUGAGAGCCCCGUCUGGCUGGCCACCGAGCCUCUGUAAAGCUCCUUCGACGAGUCGAGUAGUUUGGGAAUGCUGCUCAAAAUGGGAGGUAUAUGUCUUCUAAAGCUAAAUAUUGGCCAGAGACCGAUAGCGCACAAGUAGAGUGAUCGAAAGAUGAAAAGCACCUUGAAAAGAGGGUUAAACAGUACGUGAAAUUGUUGAAAGGGAAGCGCUUGUGACCAGACUUGGGCGCGGCGGAUCAUCCGGGGUUCUCCCCGGUGCACUUCGCCGUGUUCAGGCCAGCAUCAGUUCGGCGCGGGGGAAAAAGGCUUCGGGAACGUGGCUCCUCCGGGAGUGUUAUAGCCCGUUGCAUAAUACCCUGCGCUGGACUGAGGACCGCGCAUCUGCAAGGAUGCUGGCGUAAUGGUCACCAGCGACCCGUCUUGAAACACGGACC
rnacentral:rRNA from 1 species